UUUCGCUAUUUAGAUGGCCUGCGUGAGAUUAGCUAGUUGGUGGGGUAAAGGCCUACCAAGGCGACGAUCUCUAGCUGGUCUGAGAGGAUGAUCAGCCACACUGGGACUGAGACACGGCCCAGACUCCUACGGGAGGCAGCAGUGGGGAAUAUUGGACAAUGGGCGCAAGCCUGAUCCAGCCAUGCCGCGUGUGUGAAGAAGGCCUUAGGGUUGUAAAGCACUUUCAGGAGUGAGGAAGGGUAUGCAGUUAAUACCUGUAUAUUUUGACGUUAACUCCAGAAGAAGCACCGGCUAACUCUGUGCCAGCAGCCGCGGUAAUACAGAGGGUGCGAGCGUUAAUCGGAAUUACUGGGCGUAAAGCGCGCGUAGGCGGUUUGUUAAGUCGGAUGUGAAAUCCCAGGGCUCAACCUUGGAAUGGCACCCGAUACUGGCAGGCUAGAGUACGGUAGAGGGGUGUGGAAUUUCC
rnacentral:rRNA from 1 species